ACAUGUAUAAGUGCAGCCCCAGCAAGCCAUGGCAAGAGAAUUAGAGGAAGAAAAAUAUAGGAUCUAAUUAGUGGUAACUGCCUCUUGACAAAUAUGUAAUACAGUUGGUAAGCCUGUGUUAUGCGACAGCAAAGCAGCAAGCCAAAUCCCAGUGGACCUUCAAACCAGACUGCCCAAACAUAGCACGAUUGCCACCAAUGCCUCUUUUUGAAUUUCAGGAUAUUGAUGGACAUCACAAUUGAUAACAAUAGGUUGAAGCUGCCAAAAAUUUGAAUUAGAGGAAUCCAGAACCCACUGCCAUUAAUACGAGGAACCUUGUGGACCAAAAAGGGAAAAAUUGACCGUGAAAGAAGCAAAAUCAUGGAGAGGAUGGCUAUGGAAAUAGCAAUGUAAUCGGUAGCGCAGCCUCCUUCCACUGCACAGCUUGCCAUUCUCUAGCAUUUACAGUGAUCAAAUUUUUCUGGGUUACUAGGAUUCUAGGAAAUCAAAAUAUUACCAAAAACCUUGCACCCUUAUGAUCUAAAUCUAAAGAUUGACCAUUCCCCAUGGUUUUUGAGGCGAAAAGGAAAAGGAA
rnacentral:misc_RNA from 1 species